UUUCUCCCCAUUAAGGACAUUCAGUCACAACCAUAGCCAAGAGAAUAAAAUGCAUUUACUGAAAUGAGAAUGUCCCUUAUUUUUUGGGAUUCAUGGUCCUCUGACUCGUUGCUCACCUGCUGUUCAAUGAUUGAGUCUCCAUGAGAAUUCCAAAGAGUUGGUUAUCACCGUAUAUAAUUGACUGCUUAAGCUUCAUCUAUUUAACCUUCUUUAAAAUGCCUUUCUUGGGAUACAAGUUGAUGUUUAGUCAAUUGGAGUUCUGUUUUACCAAAUGCUCUUUGGCAGACGCCCUUUUGGGCAUGACCAAACUCAAGAACGAAUACUACGCGAAGACACAAUUAUAAAAGCUUGCAGGGUUGAAUUCCCUACGAAGCCUAUUAUCUCAAAUGAGGCGAAGUUGGAGAUAACAGACCUGACAAGAAUAUUUUUUUUCAUUGUGAGUGAUCAUGUCCUUGAUUUAUUUUUGUUGGUGUCCUUUCAAUAAACUUUUAUUGGAGUUAAUUGAUAUCAAAAUUUUGUUAUGAGCUUACAAUAUGUUUCUUUAGUAGCCAUUCGUUUUGUAUUGAGUGAUCUCUUCCACAACCUAUGCAAUUAUGACAAGCAUUAACUACUCGAUGGAGGUGCAGGACAUCAAGUUUUAUCUGCUUUCAUUGAUAUUGUGUUGAUAAUUCUGACAAUGGCAUCUCGGUGAUCGUUGUUUUUCCUUAAAAGUUGUUUUUUAAGCAUCUUUUCUGGAAGUGCUUAAUUGGUUGAAUGUGCUUUUGGUUUGUAAAGGUGCAAUACUUUACAAUCUUUCAUUCCUGUAUAUUUAUGGCUACAACAACUCUCUUAAAUGGUAAUUGAUUCUUCUGUACCCUAAUGACGAUCAUGAUGGAAAAGACGUUGAAGAACUCAAGCUUUCUGUGGCAAAAGAUCACAUCCAGACUGUCGAUGGCUGCUAAUUUGAGGGGUUAUGUACUGACCAAUAGUGAUGGGGAAAGGUAAAAUGGAUGGAAGCUUUAACUUACUGUGAGACACCUAUUGCAUAAGCUUUUCUCUUAGCAUAAAUAGUAAGGGCCUUAGCAUCCAUGAUUAUGUUUAUUAUGACUUCCAUAUAACUUUUCAUUUUUUUUUCUAAGAUGAUGAAACAAGAACACGCAUGAAACAUAACUCAAGACACACUCUUUGUGUGGCCAUAAUAUUGCUCUUGCUAAUAAGGCUGUUACAUGUUUUGCUGGCAA